rnacentral:rRNA from 1 species
AGCAGCCGCGGUAAUUCCAGCUCCAAUAGCGUAUAUUAAAGUUGUUGCAGUUAAAAAGCUCGUAGUUGAAUUUCAGGCCUGGCUGGGCGGUCCGCCUUUUGGGUGAGUACUGCCUGUGGUCGGGUCCUACCUUCUGGCGAAGCGUCAUGGCCUUAACCGGCCGUGGCGGGGAACCAGGACUUUUACUGUGAAAAAAUUAGAAUGUUCAAAGCAGGCAUUCGCUUGAAUACAUUAGCAUGGAAUAAUGGAAUAGGACAGUGGUUCUAUUUGUUGGUUUCUAGGACCGUUGUAAUGAUUAAUAGGGAUAGUUGGGGGCAUUAGUAUUCAAUUGUCAGAGGUGAAAUUCUUGGAUUUAUUGAAGACUAACUACUGCGAAAGCAUUUGCCAAGGAUGUUUUCAUUAAUCAAGAACGAAAGUUAGGGGAUCGAAGACGAUCAGAUACCGUCGUAG